GAUGAACGCUAGCUACAGGCUUAACACAUGCAAGUCGAGGGACCGGCGCACGGGAGAGUAACACGUAUCCAACCUGCCCUUUACUCGGGGAUAGCCUUUCGAAAGAAAGAUUAAUACCCGAUAUAAAGGAUGGGGAUGCGUUCCAUUAGGUUGUUGGUGAGGUAACGGCCCACCAAGCCUUCGAUGGAUAGGGGUGCUGAGAGGAAGGUCCCCCACAUUGGAACUGCGACACGGUCCAAACUCCUACGGGAGGCAGCAGUGAGGAAUAUUUGUCAAUGGGCGUUAGCCUGAACCAGCCAAGUAGAGUGAAGGAUGAAGGCUUAUGGGUCGUAAUCUUCUUUUAUAUAAGAAUAUGUAUUAUAUGAAUAAGGAUCGGCUAACUCCGUGCCAGCAGCCGCGGUAAUAC
rnacentral:rRNA from 1 species